CUUUUUUGUUGUUGUUGUUGUUAUUUCUUGGGCCGCUCCCGCGGCAUAUGGAGGUUCCCAGGCUAGGGGUUAAAUCGGAGCUGUAGCCACCGGCCUACGCCAGAGCCACAGCAACGCGGGAUCCGAGCCGCGUCUGCAACCUACACCACAGCUCACGGCAACGCCGGAUCGUUAACCCACUGAGCAAGGGCAGGGACCGACCCCGCAACCUCAUGGUUCCUAGUCGGAUUCGUUAACCACUGCGCCACGACGGGAACUCCUAUGUGGUACUUCUGAUAUUGACACUACUAAUACUAAUAUGCGUGCUGUUGGAAGUAGUUUUUGGGAAAAAUACAUUUAAAAUCUAAUGUAACUGUUCUGGAGUUCCCACUGUGGCUCAGCAGUAACCAACCCGACUAGUAUCCAUGAGGACUUGGGUUUGAUCCCUGCCCCUGCUCAGUGGGUUGAGGAUCUUGAGUUGCUGUGAGGUAUGGCAUAGGCCGGCAGCUGUAGCUCUGAUUCAACCCCUAGCCUGGGAACUUCUACAUGCUGCAAGUGCAGCCCUAAAAAGACAAAAAAAAAAAAAAAAANAGAUAAUAACAAAAAUCAAAGUAGGUUCUUAUAGGGAUGGACCACCAAAACAUACUUAUUAUUUUGGAAGCUAAGCACAUGGAUUUUGGAUUCAAAGAGCUGCAGCUCCAAUUUACUUAUAAUGUGAGUUUGGACAACUUCCUAAAGCUUCAGUUUCUUCAUCUGUGGAAUGGCAAUAACAAAUAUACCUUAUCCAUUGUGCUGUUUGAAGAGUUAAUUAGAUAAAACAUGCAAUGUACUUAGCUGAUCACCAGUUUGGGCUCAAGAAUAGAAAUGUGCCACUCUCAUCUGAACAUUUACUUGAUCUAGAAGUAGGAUCUUAGGCACAAUAAAUAAGCUUCUCUCAGAUGGCCUGUAUCUUGAAUUUUAUCUGGGAAUUUUACAAAAAGUAGAUUUUUGUCUCAAUACUGAAUGUGUAGUUUUAAAACUGGACAAAAGCCCCAAGCAGUAAAAUAGAAUUUAUACAGACAAAACAUGCUUAGUUGAAUAUUUGAACAAAUUUGAAGUUCUAUGAAGACUAAGUGUGUCCUAACAAAACUAUUGGGCAGUUUGUGACAAGUAGAAUAGGCAGUUGAAUUCACAGCUGUCUUAGAAGACUUGUUUCCUUAGAGCCAUUAUUAAUGAGAACCAGUUUCAGGAGGGAAAAAAAGAAGGUUUUGAAAAUGAUGUAAAUUAUACAUCCAAGCUGCACUAUGGCAGAAAGCCAUGACUGUCGGUGUCUUCGGUCUCUGAGAACAGUGGGCAUCUGAUAAUCUGUGCUGGUUUUUCUAUUUCUAAUUCAGUGAGAGAUGUGGGAGCUGUGCUGUGUGUUUCAAUAAAACAGUAUGUAUCAGUAGUCACUUAGUUUAAAAGAAUCCUCUUUAUUUUCUUACAAAUCAUUUCUUAAUAUAAAACCACCAGUGUAGCACUUUAAAUAUAUUGCAAUUUUACUUGUCAAUUCUAUUACAAUAAAGCUAAAAUUAAAAAAAAAAAAUUUCUCCCCAUCCAAAAAAAAAAGAAAGAAAAGAAAAAAACUCACUGAAAAUACUUGCAAGAAAAAGUCCAGAUCCACGUCUUGGAGAUGUUUUGCGUCUAUCUUAGAUACUAAACAACAACCCAAAGGCACACCCGUCUGUCUGCUGCCCCACCCACCACUCUGGAUGUGAUUCCAUCAAAGCAGAAAUAAAUCCCUAAAAAUGUUUUUCUUUUUCUAUUGAACGUCUCUGAAGAGGUACUUGUGUCCCCCAUUCACAGAAAUCUAGACGGCACUGACGUGAUAGGGCCCUGUGACUGGCAGGAGAGCCAGAGUUCUGAAUCUUUCUGUGCUGUGCUAAAAGCGGCCUGGGAUCUCAUGGAAAACAGCACUUCUAGUGAAAUCACUUAGUAGCAAUCAUUAUUUCAUGCUAAUAGGGUCCUGACUCUCACCAUAUUGUAAAAUACUAAUGACAAGUUAUCAACUUUAAAGUGCUUAAUUAAACUUACUUAUCAGACUUGUAAAACAGUUGCCCUGGGGAAAUAAGGGCUUUGAAAUGAUCACAUAGCUGGGCAUCCGAAGAAAAAGCUCUGUGAGUUUUACCAAGUCUUUCUCAGCAGACUUCUCUCUAUAAAUGUCAUUUCACCAUCACUCACAUACAUUGCUAUUAGAAUCAUCACUCUUUUCCUUGAAAUACAGCACAAAGAGCAGGGUGUCUCGUCUUCAUUAUCAAAUAAGCUUCAAAGCUGUGCUUUACCUAGUAAUUUGGAAGAACGGCUGAUAAACAGUGAUUUAAACCAAGGAAUGAUAUGGUUUAACGUUUCUGAAGACUGUAAAGGGAAAGAAUUGAGGCGAGGGAGGUUUAUGGAAGAGGAGACGGGGAAGAGGCAAGCACAGCAUGUUUGCAGAGGAGACAGGACAGCAGACCUCCGCCCCACGCCAGCUGCAGCUCCCUGGGGUCGCGGCAGAGAAGACAGCGACCACCUCACGCAGUCACAUGUGCACAGUGGGACCGUGUGCUCAGGGGUCCUGAACAAGCCUGGGAAGCCGCAGAACCACGUGCACUGAGGCAUCUGGAGCACGCUCCCAACAACUGUCUUUGUGCCACUUAUUCUCCCAACAGGAACACAUAAGCCUGGUUUUCGACAGCAUUCAAGUUUCUAUCCAGAGGAGUACUUGGCAUAAGAUGGGAUUGGUCAAGCCAAGACCUGCCUGCUUUGGGAGCCAGAUCAUCACUCCAUGGAGCCAGGACAUGGAGCUUUGCUUUUCUCUCGAGGAGAUAAAGGGUAGACUAAGACCUCACUUUGUCUCCUUCCAUGAAGCUGUUUGCUCCAAAGGCACAAACAAUGUGAAAUAAAGAAUAUGAAGAAUCAGCAGGCCAUGUGAAUAACCUUGCUCCUAGUUUUCUGAGGACAGUUUCAAACUAGUGAUACUUUUUCGCCUAUAGGACAGAUCAUGAAGCACCACCAUCCAAAAGGCCUUUUCCUAUGGGUGAGUCCUCAUUGCAAACAUGUGGAAAAUCAGAUGCAAGGUAGAGUACGAAGACGCCUAGUUCAUCCAAGUCUCUGGGCCCAUAUGUUGGGCUUGCUUUCUCCUGCUCUCGUAUGUUCUCGCCUUUAUUAAACUAUGCUUGCUGCAGACUGACAAGUGAGUUCUAAUGCUCAUCUUGUAAGUGGUAUUACUUUGGUUUCUUUUUUACUUCAUCCGUGUAAAAUUAUUUGUACUCAACUGCAAACACUGGCUAAAAUCAGUGUACUGAACCAGUGCAGGUAUUAGUUUUAUAAUUUCCCACUUGAAGUGAUUCUGAUUCUAGAAUAAAGUGUAUGGAAUUCAACUCCAUGACUCUCCUCCAGAAGCGAUUUUCUUUCAAAAUAGCAAAGCCCUCCCAAGCUAUUUCACGAUCUUCUCUUUCGAAGUACAGUUAGUACAGCAAGAGUGCUCUGUCACAGAGGUUUUGCAUCUUUUGUGAAAUUAGAGUGGAAUGGUGAUUUAAUUUAUUCUUCCUACACUAUCUCACAGCCUAGAAUUAAGAGUAGUCUGAGGGCCAGCCAAUCUUCCACUUGGCCUCUGGGCCCCUCGCUGCAGCCACUGAAAACUGUACAACAUGGGUCUCUACACACAGGGGAUUAUUUAAAACUCAUUUCCAAGCUAAUUUUUCCUAAACAUGAAAUUGGCUGCUCAGCUAAUGACAACAUUAAAGAAAAAACAUAUGUGAUUAUUGCAUCCCCCCAGAUGUCUAUCAUCAUUCUUCAGCUUCUGAUUUCUCCACUAGAUCUGCCACUUACUCUGCAAGAUUUUAACUAAUUUCUUAUUUCGGGUAGACAUUUUUCAUCCAAUUCUUUACUGCCAAGUUCUAAGCUUCUUAUACCUAUUGUUCUCCAAAUUAAACUUUAUUUCCAGGAGGAGUGUAAUUGUGUAUAAAGGGGCAAUUUACAACGACAUGUAUUUUCUGCUUGCUUUUGUGUAUUUGUUUAACAGCAGAAUGACAGUGUUUGUGUAUCCCGGCCAGUAUGCAGUGACACUCAUAAUAACUGAUUUCUAAUUAUUACUACUAGCAUCAUCAUUGCUGUUUUGUGAGCACCAGCUACGUGCCAGGUACUUCCCCAACCUCAGGCCUGAGAGGAGCAUCCACCCUUGUGCUCUUGUCCUGGAUGCUGCCACUGGAAUACCAAAGGGCGUUUGUUUAAAAACAGACAAACAAAGCAACUCUGGAGUUCCCGGGUGGCUCAGGGGGUUGGGCAUCUGGCAUUGUCACUGCUAAGACGUGGGUCAUCACUGCAAUGUGGAUUCCAUCCCUGGCCCAGGAAUUUUUGUAUGCUGAAGGCACAACCAGAAAAAAAAAAAAUGAACUCUAAUUUUUCUUUCCAUUAUUUCAAAUGAUGACACUUAACUUGAAAAUGCAUUUUCAUACAGAUGAUCUCUCUUUUUUUUUAUGGCCAAACGCACAGCAUAUAGAAACUCCCCAGCCAGGAGUGAAUACAAGCCACGGCUGCAGUCUACGCCACCGCUGCGGCAAAGCCAGAUGCUUUAACCCACACUGCUUGCACCUCCACAGCAACCCAAGCCCCUGCAGUUAGGUUCUCAACCCACUGCACCACUUCGGGAACUCCUGGAUGAUCUCUUUCCUCCUUGGCCACAUGGUGGAGGAGAAGAGCAUGUGGUUUUCUGUCUUUUCAGGACUGUGAGUUCACACAAAGCAUUCAUUUCCACAGUGGCAUUGCUCCCUUCCCCCCUCCUCGACCUCAUUCCUUCCUCCCUCCUCUUUAGACAGUAUUAUCAUCAUUAUAAUUUCUACUAACUCACUUUACAGGUGAGAAAAUUGAGGUCUGGGAAAGCUCAUGUAGUUUCUCAGGUCACAGGACUGUUCAGUGGCUUGGACCAGAUUUUUCUGAUUUCUUCCCCAUGCUUUUCCCAUUAUGCCAGCUAAUAGGUUGUCAGUAGGUAUUUGUUGACUGAAUGUAUGAAGUAUGUGUGACAAUGC
rnacentral:lncRNA from 1 species